rnacentral:lncRNA from 1 species
ACACGUCUCGGAAAUCACCGCCAGUAUCAACCUGAUUCAGUUCAAUUACUACCAUGCCAGCACAUGCUUCCAAAUCGUACUGAUGUGCGCUUGCCACGAUUCAAGAGCGUGCGGUUGUUCAAUAAUUUGGCUCCACCAGACAGAUCAAUGAAAAUUUUGCUUCAAUCAAACUCAUUAGAAACUUGGCUCCAUGUUCGUGCGUUGAUUGCACUGCUUCCGCUAUUUGAUUAAAUGCAAAUUCAGUUUAGUGAAACUGUAUCAGAAAACCGAUUGUUUUCAGUUCACGAGGAUCUGCUGCUGAUUCGUGGACUCAUCUUCUAUAUCGAUCGUAUCCGUACGACAGUCGGAAGUCUCAGCACUCCAAUUGAGUUGACCGCUACAACUGAAUUCAUUAUGUCUAAACAGAAGUUUAACAGGAUUAAUUACUGAUCAAACAUUAGGUAAUAUAUUCUUAAUCAUGAUCUAAAAUCCUAAUCCGGCCCAAUAACAAAAGAUCCAUAAUAAUCAUAUAAAUAAACAUAAAUUUUAAGAAUAAGAUACGUCAUCUUCCAUACUAAUAGUACUGAGUGUCGAACAUCAAAAUCUCACUUGAAUGUUGGAGUGUUAUUGCAGGUACCAUCCAGACUUGGAGUUUGUGAAGACAAGGACUAAGGAAAUGAAAGGAAAGCAGGGAGACCAUUUCAAGAAAAAUGGAGAAAAAAUAGAUUGAACGACUAAAAAGGAAGGAAAUUGAUCUCUUGAUUUCAACAUGUUCCAAUUUAAUCGCUGUUACAAUCACAAAAUCCUAUAAUGGCCUCAACCAUAAAAUUUUUAAAAAAAAAUACUACAAUUAUAUCCUAAUUCCAAGUCUCCUUAGUGAUUAUUUAUUAUGCCUCAUCCAUGACGGCAUCAUAAUGAAAAUAAGUUUAUGGGACAAAGCGUCCUUUUAAUCUCGAAUGAUCUUGAAGUCAAAGUCUAAUGCUCUAUUACAAUUUCUAAUUUGAGCUUGAAUUAGAACAUUUUUCAACAUUUAAUUGAAAUUGAAUAACAUAUAACAAGACCACACAAACUCAAAGAAGAAGGUUACCACUAAAUACAAACUUAAUCUCAUAAGAUUAUAUGAGUGUUAUUUGUUUUCAUGAGACUAACAAUGAAUGUUAUCACAUUACAAACAUAUUACAAGACAUUAAUCAAUGUGAAUGAACAAAAAAUAGAAGAACAAGACAAAAACUCAAACAAUGAACAAAAAAUAAAACAAAAGGAUGGAUAAACUUAUAGGAAUGGAAGAAGAGUGACACUAGAAGAUGGAGAACUCUUCAUCUUCUUGAUGAAGAAACACCACUUUCCUCUUAAGAGCUCAAGAUAGGAUUCGAGCAAGAAGUCACUCAAACAAGUGUUCUCACAACUCAAGUUUCAUUCAAU